AGUGGCGGACGGGUGAGUAACGCGUGAGAAUCUGCCUUGGGGUCGGGGACAACCACUGGAAACGGUGGCUAAUACCGGAUAAGCCGAUUGGUGAAAGAUUUAUUGCCCGAAGAGGAGCUCGCGUCUGAUUAGCUAGUUGGUGAGGUAAGAGCUCACCAAGGCAGCGAUCAGUAGCUGGUCUGAGAGGACGAUCAGCCACACUGGGACUGAGACACGGCCAGACUCCUACGGGAGGCAGCAGUGGGGAAUUUUCCGCAAUGGGCGAAAGCCUGACGGAGCAAGACCGCGUGAGGGAGGAAGGCUCUUGGGUUGUAAACCUCUUUUCUCAGGGAAGAAGCUCUGACGGUACCUGAGGAAUCAGCCUCGGCUAACUCCGUGCCAGCAGCCGCGGUAAUACGGAGGACGCAAGCGUUAUCCGGAAUUAUUGGGCGUAAAGCGUCCGCAGGUGGCGAUUCAAGUCUGCUGUCAAAGCACGGGGCUUAACUCCGUAAAGGCAGUGGAAACUGAAUAGCUAGAGUGCCGUAGGGGUAGAGGGAAUUCCCGGUGUAGCGGUGAAAUGCGUAGAGAUCGGGAAGAACAUCGGUGGCGAAAGCGCUCUACUGGACGGCAACUGACACUCAGGGACGAAAGCUAGGGGAGCGAAUGGGAUUAGAUACCCC
rnacentral:rRNA from 1 species